rnacentral:rRNA from 1 species
UACAGAGGUCUCAAGCGUUGUUCGGAUUCAUUGGGCGUAAAGGGUGCGUAGGCGGCGCGGUAAGUCGGGUGUGAAAUCUCGGGGCUUAACUCCGAAACUGCAUUCGAUACUACCGUGCUUGAGGACUGGAGAGGAGACUGGAAUUUACGGUGUAGCGGUGAAAUGCGUAGAUAUCGUAAGGAAGACCAGUGGCGAAGGCGGGUCUCUGGACAGUUCCUGACGCUGAGGUGCGAAAGCGUGGGGAGCAAACAGG